UACGUAGGGCGCAAGCGUUGUCCGGAAUCACUGGGUGUAAAGGGUGCGUAGGCGGGUGGAUAAGUCCGCGGUGAAAUCUCACGGCUCAACCGUGAAACUGCCGAUGAUACUGUCCAUCUUGAGUUUGGGAGAGGUCGAUGGAAUUCCAGGUGUAGCGGUGAAAUGCGUAGAUAUCUGGAAGAACACCAGUGGCGAAGGCGGUCGACUGGCCCACAACUGACGCUGAGGCACGAAAGCGUGGGGAUCAAACAGG
rnacentral:rRNA from 1 species